rnacentral:rRNA from 1 species
GGAUGAGCCCGCGGCCUAUCAGCUUGUUGGUGGGGUAGUGGCCUACCAAGGCGACGACGGGUAGCCGGCCUGAGAGGGUGACCGGCCACACUGGGACUGAGACACGGCCCAGACUCCUACGGGAGGCAGCAGUGGGGAAUAUUGCGCAAUGGGCGAAAGCCUGACGCAGCGACGCCGCGUGGGGGAUGACGGCCUUCGGGUUGUAAACCUCUUUCAGCAGGGACGAAGCGGAAGUGACGGUACCUGUNCCNAGAAGCACCGGCCAGCUACGUGCCAGCAGCCGCGA